rnacentral:rRNA from 1 species
UUUAGAGUUUGAAUUCAGGGCUCAGAUUAAACGCUGCCGGCCAGGCUUAACACAUUCAAGUCGAGCGGAAAACGAUGGAGCUUGCUCCAGGCGUCGACCGGCGGACGGGUGAGUAAUGCAUAGGAAUCUGCCCGGUAGUGGGGGAUAACCUGGGGAAACCCAGGCUAAUACCGCAUACGUCCUACGGGAGAAAGCAGGGGAUCUUCGGACCUUGCGCUAUCGGAUGAGCCUAUGUCGGAUUAGCUUGUUGGUGAGGUAAUGGCUCACCAAGGCGACGAUCCGUAGCUGGUCUGAGAGGAUGAUCGGCCACAUCGGGACUGAGACACGGCCCGAACUCCUACGGGAGGCAGCAGUGGGGAAUAUUGGACAAUGGGCGAAAGCCUGAUCCAGCCAUGCCGCGUGUGUGAAGAAGGCUUUCGGGUUGUAAAGCACUUUCAGUGAGGAAGAAGGCCUUGGGGCUAAUACCCCCGAGGAAGGACUACACUCACAGAAGAAGCACCGG